UGAAGUGACUAUACAUAGAUAAUAAACAGAGAGUAGCAGCAGUGUACAUGUAGGUAGGGGUGAAGUGACUAUACAUAGAUAAUAAACAGAGAGUAGCAGCAGUGUACAUGUAGGUAGGGGUAAAGUGAUUAUACAUAGAUAAUAAACAGAGAGUAGCAGCAGUGUACAUGUAGGUAGGGGUGAAGUGACUAUACAUAGAUAAUAAACAGAGAGUAGCAGCAGUGUACAUGUAGGUAGGGGUAAAGUGACUAUGCAUAGAUAAUAAACAGUGAGUAGCAGCAGUGUACAUGUAGGUAGGGGUGAAGUGACUAUACAUAGAUAAUAAACAGAGAGUAGCAGCAGUGUACAUGUAGGUAGGGGUGAAGUGACUAUACAUAGAUAAUAAACAGAGAGUAGCAGCAGUGUACAUGUAGGUAGGGGUGAAGUGAUUAUACAUAGAUAAUAAACAGAGAGUAGCAGCAGUGUACAUGUAGGUAGGGGUGAAGUGACUAUACAUAGAUAAUAAACAGAGAGUAGCAGCAGUGUACAUGUAGGUAGGGGUGAAGUGACUAUACAUAGAUAAUAAACAGUGAGUAGCAGCAGUGUACAUGUAGGUAGGGGUGAAGUGACUAUACAUAGAUAAUAAACAGAGAGUAGCAGCAGUGUACAUGUAGGUAGGGGUAAAGUGACUAUACAUAGAUAAUAAACAGUGAGUAGCAGCAGUGUACAUGUAGGUAGGGGUGAAGUGACUAUACAUAGAUAAUAAACAGAGAGUAGCAGCAGUGUACAUGUAGGUAGGGGUGAAGUGAUUAUACAUAGAUAAUAAACAGAGAGUAGCAGCAGUGUACAUGUAGGUAGGGGUGAAGUGACUAUACAUAGAUAAUAAACAGAGAGUAGCAGCAGUGUACAUGUAGGUAGGGGUGAAGUGAUUAUACAUAGAUAAUAAACAGAGAGUAGCAGCAGUGUACAUGUAGGUAGGGGUGAAGUGAUUAUACAUAGAUAAUAAACAGAGAGUAGCAGCAGUGUACAUGUAGGUAGGGGUGAAGUGACUAUACAUAGAUAAUAAACAGAGAGUAGCAGCAGUGUACAUGUAGGUAGGGGUGAAGUGACUAUACAUAGAUAAUAAACAGUGAGUAGCAGCAGUGUACAUGUAGGUAGGGGUGAAGUGACUAUACAUAGAUAAUAAACAGAGAGUAGCAGCAGUGUACAUGUAGGUAGGGGUAAAGUGACUAUACAUAGAUAAUAAACAGUGAGUAGCAGCAGUGUACAUGUAGGUAGGGGUGUAGUGACUAUACAUAGAUAAUAAACAGAGAGUAGCAGCAGUGUACAUGUAGGUAGGGGUGAAGUGAUUAUACAUAGAUAAUAAACAGAGAGUAGCAGCAGUGUACAUGUAGGUAGGGGUGAAGUGACUAUACAUAGAUAAUAAACAGAGAGUAGCAGCAGUGUACAUGUAGGUAGGGGUGAAGUGACUAUACAUAGAUAAUAAACAGAGAGUAGCAGCAGUGUACAUGUAGGUAGGGGUGAAGUGACUAUACAUAGAUAAUAAACAGAGAGUAGCAGCAGUGUACAUGUAGGUAGGGGUGAAGUGACUAUGUAUAGAUAAUAAACAGAGAGUUGCAGCAGUGUACAUGUAGGUAGGGGUGAAGUGACAGCAUAGAUAAUAAACAGAGAGUAGCAGCAGUGUACAUGUAGGUAAGGGUGAAGUGACUAUACAUAGAUAAUAAACAGAGAGUAGCAGCAGUGUACAUGUAGGUAGGGGUGAAGUGACUAUACAUAGAUAAUAAACAGUGAGUAGCAGCAGUGUACAUGUAGGUAGGGGUGAAGUGACUAUACAUAGAUAAUAAACAGAGAGUAGCAGCAGUGUACAUGUAGGUAGGGGUGUAGUGACUAUACAUAGAUAAUAAACAGAGAGUAGCAGCAGUGUACAUGUAGGUAGGGGUAAAGUGACUAUACAUAGAUAAUAAACAGUGAGUAGCAGCAGUGUACAUGUAGGUAGGGGUAAAGUGACUAUACAUAGAUAAUAAACAGAGAGUAGCAGCAGUGUACAUGUAGGUAGGGGUGAAGUGACUAUACAUAGAUAAUAAACAGAGAGUAGCAGCAGUGUACAUGUAGGUAGGGGUGAAGUGACUAUACAUAGAUAAUAAACAGAGAGUAGCAGCAGUGUACAUGUAGGUAGGGGUGAAGUGACUAUACAUAGAUAAUAAACAGAGAGUAGCAGCAGUGUACAUGUAGGUAGGGGUGAAGUGACUAUGCAUAGAUAAUAAACAGAGAGUAGCAGCAGUGUACAUGUAGGUAGGGGUGAAGUGACUAUACAUAGAUAAUAAACAGUGAGUAGCAGCAGUGUACAUGUAGGUAGGGGUGAAGUGACUAUACAUAGAUAAUAAACAGUGAGUAGCAGCAGUGUACAUGUAGGUAGGGGUGAAGUGACUAUACAUAGAUAAUAAACAGAGAGUAGCAGCAGUGUACAUGUAGGUAGGGGUGAAGUGACUAUACAUAGAUAAUAAACAGAGAGUAGCAGCAGUGUACAUGUAGGUAGGGGUGAAGUGACUAUACAUAGAUAAUAAACAGAGAGUAGCAGCAGUGUACAUGUAGGUAGGGGUGAAGUGACUAUACAUAGAUAAUAAACAGUGAGUAGCAGCAGUGUACAUGUAGGUAGGGGUGAAGUGACUAUGCAUAGAUAAUAAACAGUGAGUAGCAGCAGUGUACAUGUAGGUAGGGGUGAAGUGACUAUGCAUAGAUAAUAAACAGUGAGUAGCAGCAGUGUACAUGUAGGUAGGGGUGAAGUGACUAUACAUAGAUAAUAAACAGUGAGUAGCAGCAGUGUACAUGUAGGUAGGGGUGAAGUGACUAUACAUAGAUAAUAAACAGUGAGUAGCAGCAGUGUACAUGUAGGUAGGGGUGAAGUGACUAUACAUAGAUAAUAAACAGUGAGUAGCAGCAGUGUACAUGUAGGUAGGGGUGAAGUGACUAUACAUAGAUAAUAAACAGUGAGUAGCAGCAGUGUACAUGUAGGUAGGGGUGAAGUGACUAUACAUAGAUAAUAAACAGUGAGUAGCAGCAGUGUACAUGUAGGUAGGGGUGAAGUGACUAUACAUAGAUAAUAAACAGUGAGUAGCAGCAGUGUACAUGUAGGUAGGGGUAAAGUGACUAUACAUAGAUAAUAAACAGUGAGUAGCAGCAGUGUACAUGUAGGUAGGGGUGUAGUGACUAUACAUAGAUAAUAAACAGAGAGUAGCAGCAGUGUACAUGUAGGUAGGGGUGUAGUGACUAUGCAUAGAUAAUAAACAGUGAGUAGCAGCAGUGUACAUGUAGGUAGGGGUGAAGUGACUAUACAUAGAUAAUAAACAGUGAGUAGCAGCAGUGUACAUGUAGGUAGGGGUGAAGUGACUAUGCAUAGAUAAUAAACAGUGAGUAGCAGCAGUGUACAUGUAGGUAGGGGUGAAGUGACUAUACAUAGAUAAUAAACAGAGAGUAGCAGCAGUGUACAUGUAGGUAGGGGUGAAGUGACUAUACAUAGAUAAUAAACAGUGAGUAGCAGCAGUGUACAUGUAGGUAGGGGUGAAGUGACUAUACAUAGAUAAUAAACAGAGAGUAGCAGCAGUGUACAUGUAGGUAGGGGUGAAGUGACUAUGCAUAGAUAAUAAACAGUGAGUAGCAGCAGUGUACAUGUAGGUAGGGGUGAAGUGACUAUACAUAGAUAAUAAACAGAGAGUAGCAGCAGUGUACAUGUAGGUAGGGGUGAAGUGACUAUACAUAGAUAAUAAACAGAGAGUAGCAGCAGUGUACAUGUAGGUAGGGGUGAAGUGACUAUACAUAGAUAAUAAACAGAGAGUAGCAGCAGUGUACAUGUAGGUAGGGGUGAAGUGACUAUACAUAGAUAAUAAACAGAGAGUAGCAGCAGUGUACAUGUAGGUAGGGGUGAAGUGACUAUACAUAGAUAAUAAACAGUGAGUAGCAGCAGUGUACAUGUAGGUAGGGGUGAAGUGACUAUGCAUAGAUAAUAAACAGUGAGUAGCAGCAGUGUACAUGUAGGUAGGGGUGAAGUGACUAUACAUAGAUAAUAAACAGAGAGUAGCAGCAGUGUACAUGUAGGUAGGGGUGAAGUGACUAUACAUAGAUAAUAAACAGAGAGUAGCAGCAGUGUACAUGUAGGUAGGGGUGAAGUGACUAUACAUAGAUAAUAAACAGUGAGUAGCAGCAGUGUACAUGUAGGUAGGGGUGAAGUGACUAUACAUAGAUAAUAAACAGUGAGUAGCAGCAGUGUACAUGU